AUGGUUUAGCUUUGAAGAUCAUACCGUUGGUAAGGGUGAGGUCGCGUGUUCGAAUCACGCUGGCAGCACCA
rnacentral:tRNA from 1 species